AGAGCGAACGCUGGCGGCAGGCCUAACACAUGCAAGUCGAGCGCCGUAGCAAUACGGAGCGGCAGACGGGAGAGUAACACGUGGGAACGUACCCUUUGGUUCGGAACAACCCAGGGAAACUUGGGCUAAUACCGAAUAAGCCCUUACGGGGAAAGAUUUAUCGCCGAAGGAUCGGCCCGCGUCUGAUUAGCUAGUUGGUGGGGUAACGGCCCACCAAGGCGACGAUCAGUAGCUGGUCUGAGAGGAUGAUCAGCCUCAUUGGGACUGAGACACGGCCCAAACUCCUACGGGAGGCAGCAGUGGGGAAUAUUGGACAAUGGGCGCAAGCCUGAUCCAGCCAUGCCGCGUGGGUGAAGAAGGUCUUCGGAUUGUAAAGCCCUUUCGACGGGGACGAUGAUGACGGUACCCGUAGAAGAGCCCCGGCUAACUUCGCGCCAGCAGCCGC
rnacentral:rRNA from 1 species